AUUGAACGCUGGCGGCAGGCCUAACACAUGCAAGUCGAGCGAGCGGCGGACGGGUGAGUAAUGUCUGGGAAACUGCCUGAUGGAGGGGGAUAACUACUGGAAACGGUAGCUAAUACCGCAUACCAUCAGAUUUGCACAGAUGGGAUUAGCUAGUGGGUGGGGGAACGGCUCACCUAGGCGACGAUCCCUAGCUGGUCUGAGAGGAUAACCAGCACAACUGGAACGUGGACAGGGUCCGGACUCUUACGGGAGGCAGCAUGGGGGAAUAUUGGACAAUGGGCGCAAGCCUGCUGCGGCCAGCCCGCGUGUGUGAAGAAGGCCUUCGGGUUGUAAAGCACUUUCAGCGGGGAGGCGUUACCCGCAGAAGAAGCACCGGCUAACUCCGUGCCAGCAGCCGCGGUAAUUC
rnacentral:rRNA from 1 species